UCGUGGGGUAAGCGGGGGGAGCGCGGUCGGGGAGAGGAGAAGGGGAGGGAGAGAGGGAGGGCGUCCGGGAGCGUCGGUGUUGGAUGCGGCCGGCCAGGGCCGGCUAAGGCCGCCGACGGCCGCUGCGCGUCGUGAGAGGGUACCGACGGAGGGAGCCGAGGCAGGAGGGGUGGUUGGUCUACGCAGCGCGAGGGUACUUUGGGAUCGGCGGCGCGCAGGCGAGGGACGGCCCGGUAGCGCAGCAGAGGAGGGGCGGGAGAGCCAGGAGUCGUCCUCCUCGCACCGAGUGGCGGCGUCGACGAGGCGCAGCGACGAAGGAGUAGCUCGAGCGUGCAGGGACAGUGGACCUCCUCGCCGGCGAGCGACGGCGCGGCAGCGUAGCAGAGGAGGAGGGGCGGGAGAGCCAGGAGUUGCCCUCCUCGCGCCGGGCGGCGGCGUCGACGAGGCGCAGGGGCAGCGGACCUCCUUGCCUCCGACGUCGAGGUCGUAGACGAGCUGGGAGAAAGGGAGCGGACGCUCGCCGAGUACCGUCGAGGCCUAGGUCACAGGUAGUGCACAAGAGGCACUACGCUCUAGCUGCCACCGGAAGAUGUAGUGCGCCCCCGGUACCGGCCAGUGGCGGACCACCCACGACCGAGCUUCCACUGCUCGAUGUUAGGGUCUCUUAGUCCCGACUGGAUUUCGAUGGCUAGUCGCACCUCCUACGGCCUGCCUCACGACUCCUCAAACGUUAUCGACUUAGUUUCCCUCACGGUGAACAGGUACAACCAGUCCUGUGUGCGAACCUGAUAGCUCAAUAACUACAAGCUUGUGAUCGUUUAGUUCGGUAAAAGGCAUAUGUCGUAGUACAACUUUUGUAACUAAGAAUCUACGUCGAGAAUUUAUACCUACUCUAUGGCCUUUCCUCUGAACACCAAGGUGAAAGAGAAUAUAGGAAAAAGAGCUGGACUAAAUGAAAAGACUAUUACGUUGUUCGACCUGUUAUUAAUCUCCCGUCGUCUACUCUGACCCAUAACAGCACCCUACACAGUCGUGUACGCACAGAGAGGGUAAUACUGCUGUACCGACGGAUAGAAGGGUCUUACGUCCGGAACUAGUUCUCCUUACUGAGGGGAGUCAAACAAGUAACAUCUUGGUAGUGACUCGUACUGAAAACAUUAACUUUCUUAUAUCUCAAAACGGAAUAUUUCAAGAGUCAGAACCAUGAAUGGAAGUCGGUUACUUCUUUGACUCAACCUUUCACUAGAGUUGUAUUUAAUUCACGUUUUUGUAGGGCGUCACCGUGUACUUCCCGCCGCGGCCUAGGCCGCGGCCUAGGUGUAGGUGUCGGUGCCGCGGCCGUGGGUACCUCACUGGCACACGAAGAAGAGGUACCUGUACCUCGAGGGUGUUGUGUGGUACCUUCCGGACCUCGAGGAAGAGUGCCGUCCACGUGGCGCAUGUCCUCCCUUCUGGUUGCGAGGAGGCCCAGACGAAGAAGGGCCCAGCGGCAACGAGGUGCCUUCCAAUUUACCAUUGGAAUGUUUACUAGGAAGAGAAACAUACUAGCUAUAAUCCUCCCGAAACGUCAAGGCCUACACGGCUACUCCAUCGAACGUAACCGAAACUGUAUACUCUGCCGUAACCGAAUGAGAUUUAUAGAACCCUCUGAGACUUGUAGUCCUGGUACACCUGAUUUGAACGUACACCCACGUGAUUCCUCUUCCAGGGUGAGUAGUUCCCUAUUGUUGAUUAACCAGCCUGAAACACUUCUGUCCCCAACCUAUUAAACCUCUUACAGAAACGCAAGUUCCGAUUUUCCCCGUUUCACAGCGAGCAACAGAUGGACAAAACUGUUCCAACCAAUGUUCCAACAGUAGUAUGAUAGGUACGUUUACAAAGGACACUAAAGUAGACGAUUUGUUACUACGUAAUCGUCUUGAUAUAUCCAAGUAACACUCGCAAGCGAACCUGAAUAGAGUGUGGCAACUAGACCGAGCGAAACCAAUACAUUAUUCGGUUGAUAACAUAGAUGAAUCACAACUAGGUAGUCGAACCGAAUGAAAACCUUGUAUGAUGCAUAAGGGGGUAAACAGUACUUGAAAAUCUAGAUUACAAAGUACGAAGACCAUAUAAACUACCGGAAUGGAAAACAGUAACAAACCUGUUUAACGAGAUGUGACCUGUGAAUACAUAGUUCCGUUACGGUACGAAGACUACGUUGGAAUAACAUAACCUGACUAGGUAAUAAACUCGUUAGUGAGAUUAAAAGGAAACGUUACCAAUUAUGUAACAAAUACGCGAACCUGUUAUUCAACUCAGUCCGUGGGCGCUCUUAACUAAACCACAUACCGUGACAUG
rnacentral:rRNA from 1 species